AUGAGUUCCCUGCAUGCAACAUCCCGAGGGCACUGGGAAAGCCCCCAAACCCGCCUGCAAAGGCAAACCAGCCUAGGAGCGGCUGCCUCGCCACAAAUGAAAAAUAAGAGCAAAGUUAACUUCUGUCUGAUCCCAUUUUCCUGCAGCCAAGCAGAUGGUUUGCUUCUCUUGGCAGAGGCAGCGCCUUAUCUGAUCGCAGCGCUGGAACGGGGGAGAGCAGAGGGCUUUGAAGGCAGCGCGGGAGCCGGCAGAGGUAAAGUGCUAAAAAUUAAACGUUACCGAAGCGACACGGGACUACUGGAACUGAGCCCACGGAGAGCUGAGCACAGCAGCAGAAAUGAAGAUUCAGAUUCCAAAAACUACCCUCCCUUUGAAGCAAGAAGUUAGUACGUGUAUUUCUAAAUCCACCGUGAGUCCCAGAGCAACCUGUGAUCUCAAAGAGAGCCCGGCUACGUGCCCUGCUGUUGUGUCAUCAGCUGCAAUUAGCGUGAGUCAUCAGCAGCGCUGCUCAGUUCUGCAGUGUGCGUGGCGCUUGUUGCCCUGUUGCUGCCCUCGAGGCUGUGCCAUCUAAACAUGUACAGAGGCUUCUCGAUGCGCCUCAAGCAGGUGAAGGAGGGAAUUAUGUAAGGACAAUGAAAAAGAGGCAUUCGUAUCCCAGCAGUGAUCUGCAGUCAUUACUGAGGUAGGUUUAGGUGCAGCCAGCGCUGCUCGCGCUGAGCGGGUCUGACAGCAGACGCCUCCGAAGAUCAACUGUGCCAUCAGGAACGCACCCUGACUUCUGCCUGCUGGGCCAGCAGACCUGCUGUACCCUACAAACCAUUCACACACCACAAAAGCCCAAACUGAGAAUUCUCUGCUGUGAACCUAUGGUAGGGAAUGAAAACAACCGGAGUAGAGGUUGAUCAGGAGAGCACGGAUACCUGCCUGCUCCUCCAGCAGCAAGGGGGUUGGGCUCAGCACCGUGCCCCAGUGCCCGACCUCAGCACAGAGCAAAGCCCCAGGAACACAGCCCAGCCCUGAGGGAGCUCCUCGCAGCCAUUUCAGCCCCAGCAUUCCUCACCUGCUCCGUGGGUCGGUCAGCAGGGUUUGUUCUGUUGGUGAGAAGGCUGCCCAGCCCGGUGUGGGGGGCAAAUUCAGCUCUUUCUGUUUUUAAAUAGAUUGGGAACGGGCAAUCUCAGCUUUUGUACAAUAAUCUAAAAAUAAGUGGCUGAAUAUUAUCUAGAUAACUGGUUUUAAAAUUCCUCUCUUCCUACAUAAAUUGUAAACAAGUAGAAAAUUUAAAUAGUAUCUCGUAAAAAAAAGCAAGGACAAAUGCAAGUUAUACAAAAAGCGCCCUUCCUUGCCUCCUUCCUCCCCCUCCCUCCACCCAUCCCCACAGCUGAGCCUGAGCAGCCCUGGGAGGAGCUGGUGAUCCUCAGCCAUCUCCUCUCUCCUCCCAAACGCUGCUCCUCUGUUGCAUUUCCAGUGUUAUCCGUUACAAACGCAGCCGCUAUCUCCCAGACGUCCUUUGUCCAGUACUGAGCACGGGGCCCCUCCCUCUGUGAAACCAAGAAUCGCUUUGCUAUCGGGUCAGUGAUGUGGAGGAAUUCCUUCAAUAUCCAAGAAUUUCCUUAUGCCCAUUAGAAAACAUAUGGGUGUGACUGUCCGUGGUGGCACCUGCUGAUGUGACGACACGUCGGAGGGAGGGGAAGGUUUUUCUUCAAGAAUAAGGAAUUCAGCAACAAUGGCUGAUGGGUAAAUAACAGUUAUCAAAUAAAUAAUUACCUACAGAGAGCCCAAACGAGGCAGGCAGCUGGGUGCUCAGCGACUCAAGCUUGCUGAACACUAGCUCUGAUGCAGGCAUGAGAACCGUGGCUUCAGAACGGAGAAGCCGGCCUCGGCUCCCCGAUGCACGAAAGCAGCAGCUGCCCAGAGGCGCCGUAAUGCUGAGCAGCGCCGCCAGGCUCAAGCGCUGGUCCCGUCCUCCUCGAUGACGCGGUUCAUGCUGGUGCCGUGUGUGAUGUGCGUCAGGGGGUUGCUGCUCAGGUCCCUGAUGCUGCUGUGGCGCGACUGCUCGUUGAGCCGAUGGGAGCUGCUGUGCCGGGAGUGGUCGGUGAGCCGGGACAUGCUGCCGUGAGGGAGUCUUUCCUCUAUGCCUCUGUAGCUGCAGGGGGUGUACCUGGUGUGCAAACAGAGGGGAUCAUUAUUGUCAGCAUGCAGUCUGGGAGAGCUCUGCUUUCCCAUGUGUUAAGAUUGCGGAAUUGGAUUCACUCGGGUUGGAAAAGACCUCUAAGGUCACCUGGUCCAACCCCAGCCGGCCCCACCGUGCCCACUGCCCACAUCCCUCAGUGCCACAUCUCCAUUUUCCUUAACACCUCCAGGAAUGGUGACCCCACCGCCUCCCCGUGCCGCUCUCAGAGCUCGUCCCACUUCACGCACGACA
ensembl:lncRNA